AAGGCGUUAACCGAAAAGCCUGUAUUUAAACGAGUAGGUA
rfam:Tamlana nanhaiensis strain FHC16 contig17, whole genome shotgun sequence.